UCUCUGCCUAGCUCGACGGAGCGAAAAACCGGACACCUUCACCGGCCUGGCAGAGGUACCCGAAUGAAGG
rnacentral:sRNA from 19 species